UACAGAGGUCCCGAGCGUUGUUCGGAUUCACUGGGCGUAAAGGGUGCGUAGGUGGUCGGGUAAGUCUGGUGUGAAAUCUCGGAGCUCAACUCCGAAACUGCAUCGGAUACUAUUCGGCUAGAGGGUUGGAGGGGGGACUGGAAUUCUCGGUGUAGCAGUGAAAUGCGUAGAUAUCGAGAGGAACACCAGUGGCGAAGGCGAGUCCCUGGACAACUCCUGACGCUGAGGCACGAAAGCUAGGGGAGCAAACAGG
rnacentral:rRNA from 1 species